rnacentral:rRNA from 1 species
CUAGUGAUUAGAGUUUGAUCAUGGCUCAGAACGUACGCUGGCGGCACGCCUAACACAUGCAAGUCGAACGCAGUAGCAAUACUGAGUGGCAAACGGGUGAGUAUAAUGUGGGAAUCUGCCUUUUGGUUUGGAAUAACACGGGGAAACUUGUGCUAAUACCGAAUAAGCCCUUACGGGGAAAGUUUUAAUGCCGAAAGAUGAGCCCGCACUUGAUUAGCUAGUUGGUAAGGUAAAAGCUUACCAAGGCAACGAUCAAUAGCUGUUCUUAGAGGAAGACCAGCCACAUUGGGACUGAGACACGGCCCAGACUCCUACGGGAGGCAGCAGUGGGGAAUCUUGCACAAUGGGGGAAACCCUGAUGCAGCGAUGCCGCGUGAGUGAAGAAGGCCUUUGGGUUGUAAAACUCUUUCGUCGGGGAAGAAAAUGACU